CCUACGGGAGGCAGCAGUAAGGAAUAUUGGUCAAUGGAGGCAACUCUGAACCAGCCAUGCCGCGUGCAGGAAGACGGCCCUAUGGGUUGUAAACUGCUUUUGAACUAGAGAAAACCUUGGUACGUGUACCGAGUUGAUAGUAUAGUUAGAAUAAGCAUCGGCUAACUUCGUGCCAGCAGCCGCGGUAAGACGAAGGAUGCAAGCGUUAUCCGGAUUCAUUGGGUUUAAAGGGUGCGUAGGCGGACUGAUAAGUCAGUGGUGAAAUCUCUCAGCUUAACUGAGAAACUGCCAUUGAUACUGUUAGUCUAGAGUACAGAUGAUGUGGGCGGAAUAUGACAUGUAGUGGUGAAAUACUUAGAUAUGUCAUAGAACACCGAUUGCGAAGGCAGCUCACAAAACUGUAACUGACGCUGAGCACGAAGUAGCGGGAGUACAACAAGAGUAGUAUACCUACGUAGUACCGCCGACCGUAACCGAAUAGUAUUACUUCGUUGUUGGUCGG
rnacentral:rRNA from 1 species